CAUGCCUAUGUAAAUCGAGUGAGUCAUGAAUAUCUAACAAACAGCUAAAAGGCUGUUUAACUUAGCUUCGGUAGGAAAUAAUCCAAUACAUAACCUUUACCCAAAUGCUUUCCGCAGGGUUCUAGCUUCUAGCAGUUUUGGACAAGUGAAGCUGAGAGGAAGUGCUACACGAGACUCUGGGUCUGCAGCUUUGCAAAGCCCAAGUAACUCCCUUCCUCGUCGCCUUGCUGCAUAGCACCCUCGAGUCUAUACGAUGAUCUGCCCCCCGGCAGAUGAAACUGAAGAUCUGUUAGCUUCUCUAACAGAAGCUUGCAUUUACCAGCUUAUCCAGCCAAGCUUCAGAGACGAUUCCCCAGGGAAGGUAUUACGCUGUCUUAAAUUAUGCCAGAAGAACUGAAGUUCUGAUGCACGGAAGAGGAUGCACGGAAGAUAACUGAUAUCUUCAGCAGUAUCAGUAGCCUUUUAAACAUCCACACAAACACUGGUCACUAGCUGGCAAUCCCCAAAACACCUCCUUUGGUGGUAGGACUUCAUCUGGCCCUGCCACCAACCACUUCUGAACUGAAAAAAAUUUAACAUGACGUAGAUUUUCAUUUUCUGCUAUGAGGUGAAGGAAACAGAUCCAAGAAGAUUUAUG
rnacentral:lncRNA from 1 species